AGCGAACGCUGGCGGCAGGCUUAACACAUGCAAGUCGAACGCCCGGGCAACCGGGAGUGGCAGACGGGUGAGUAACACGUGGGAACGUACCCUUUGGUUCGGAAUAACUCAGGGAAACUUGAGCUAAUACCGGAUAAGCCCUUACGGGGAAAGAUUUAUCGCCGAAGGAUCGGCCCGCGUCCGAUUAGCUAGUUGGUGUGGUAACGGCUCACCAAGGCGACGAUCGGUAGCUGGUCUGAGAGGAUGAUCAGCCACACUGGGACUGAGACACGGCCCAGACUCCUACGGGAGGCAGCAGUGGGGAAUAUUGGACAAUGGGGGCAACCCUGAUCCAGCCAUGCCGCGUGAGUGAUGAAGGCCCUAGGGUUGUAAACUCCUUUUGUGGGGGAAAAGAAUGGAUGGUACCCCAAGAAUAAGUCACGGCUAACUACGUG
rnacentral:rRNA from 1 species